ACACGGGGAAACUCACCAGGUCCAGACACAUUAAGGAUUGACAGAUUGAGAGCUCUUUCUUGAUUAUGUGGGUGGCGGUGCAUGGCCGUUCUUAGUUGGUGGAGUGAUUUGUCUGCUCAAUUGCGAUAACGAACGAGACCUUAACCUGCUAAAUAGCCAGGCUAGCUUUUGCUGGUCGCCGGCUUCUUAGAGGGACUAUCGGCUCAAGCCGAUGGAAGUUUGAGGCAAUAACAGGUCUGUGAUGCCCUUAGAUGUUCUGGGCCGCACGCGCGCUACACUGACAGAGCCAACGAGUAUAAACCUUAACCGAGAGGUUUGGGUAAUCUUGUUAAACUCUGUCGUGCUGGGGAUAGGGCAUUGCAAUUAUUGCCCUUCAACGAGGAAUAUCUAGUAAGCGCAAGUCAUCAGCUUGCGUUGAUUACGUCCCUGCCCUUUGUACACACCGCCCGUCGCUACUACCGAUUGAAUGGCUCAGUGAGGCCUUCGGACUGGCUCCAGGA
rnacentral:rRNA from 1 species